rnacentral:rRNA from 1 species
UACGAAGGGGGCUAGCGUUGCUCGGAAUCACUGGGCUUAAAGGGCGCGUAGGCGGGCUGCCGCGUCCGGGGUGAAAUCCCACGGCUCAACCGGGGGAAGGACGCAUGAAACUGGCAAGCUAGAGUACCAAAAGAGGAGAGUGGAAUUCCUGGUGUAGCGGUGAAAUGCGCAGAUAUCAGGAAGAACACCUAUGGCGAAAGCAGCUCUCUGGGACGGUACUGACGCUGAGACGCGAAAGCGUGGGGAGCGAACAGG